UACGAAGGGGGCUAGCGUUGUUCGGAUUUACUGGGCGUAAAGCGCGCGCAGGCGGCUUCUCAAGUCAGUGGUGAAAGCCCGGAGCUCAACUCCGGAACUGCCAUUGAAACUGUGGAGCUUGAGGACGAGAGAGGUGAGUGGAAUUCCCAGUGUAGAGGUGAAAGGCGUAGAGAUGGGGAAGAACACCGGUGGCGAAGGCGGCUCACUGGCUCGUUUCUGACGCUCAGGCGCGACAGCGUGGGGAGCAAACAGG
rnacentral:rRNA from 1 species